UACGUAGGUGGCAAGCGUUGUCCGGAAUUACUGGGCGUAAAGGGCGCGUAGGCGGUCUUUUAAGUCAGAUGUGAAAACCCGGGGCUCAACCUCGGACCUGCAUUUGAAACUGGGAGACUCGAGUGUCGGAGAGGAAAGCGGAAUUCCUAGUGUAGCGGUGAAAUGCGUAGAUAUUAGGAGGAACACCAGUGGCGAAGGCGGCUUUCUGGAUGAUAACUGACGCUGAGGCGGGAAAGCGUGGGGAGCAAACAGGAUUAGAUACCCUGGUAGUCCACGCCGUAAACGAUGGAUACUAGGUGUGGGAGGUAUCGAACCCUUCCGUGCCGCAGUAAACGCAAUAAGUAUCCCGCCUGGGGAGUACGGCCGCAAGGUUGA
rnacentral:rRNA from 1 species